rnacentral:rRNA from 1 species
AGAGUUUGAUCAUGGCUCAGAACGAACGCUGGCGGCAGGCCUAACACAUGCAAGUCGAGCGCCCAGCAAUGGGAGCGGCGGACGGGUGAGUAACACGUGGGAAUGUACCUUUCGGUACGGAACAACGCAGGGAAACUUGCGCUAAUACCGUAUACGCCCUUACGGGGAAAGAUUUAUCGCCGAAAGAUCAGCCCGCGUUGGAUUAGCUAGUUGGUGAGGUAACGGCCCACCAAGGCUACGAUCCAUAGCUGGUUUGAGAGAACGAUCAGCCACACUGGGACUGAGACACGGCCCAGACUCCUACGGGAGGCAGCAGUGGGGAAUCUUGGACAAUGGGGGAAACCCUGAUCCAGCCAUGCCGCGUGAAUGAUGAAGGCCUUCGGGUUGUAAAGUUCUUUCGCACGCGACGAUAAUGACGGUAGCGUGAGAAGAAGCUCCGGCUAACUUCGUGCCAGCAGCCGCGGUAAUACGAAGGGGGCUAGCGUUGUUCGGAAUUACUGGGCGUAAAGCGCGCGCAGGCGGCCAAUCAAGUCAGAGGUGAAAGCCCGGAGCUUAACUCCGGAAUUGCCCCUGAGACUGUUUGGCUUCGAGUACGGGAGAGGUGAGUGGAAUUCCGAGUGUAGAGGUGAAAUUCGUAGAUAUUCGGAAGAACACCGGUGGCGAAGGCGGCUCACUGGCCCGUUACUGACGCUCAGGCGCGACAGCGUGGGGAUCAAACAGGAUUAGAUACCCUAGUAGUCC